rnacentral:rRNA from 1 species
GAGUUUGAUCGUGGCUCAGAUUGAACGCUGGCGGCAUGCCUUACACAUGCAAGUCGAACGGCAGCACGGGAGCUUGCUCCUGGUGGCGAGUGGCGAACGGGUGAGUAAUGCAUCGGAACGUAUCCUGGAGUGGGGGGAUAACGUAGCGAAAGUUACGCUAAUACCGCAUAUUCUGUGAGCAGGAAAGCGGGGGACCUUCGGGGCCUCGCGCUCUUGGAGCGGCCGAUGUCGGAUUAGCUAGUUGGUGAGGUAAAGGCUCACCAAGGCGACGAUCCGUAGCAGGUCUGAGAGGAUGAUCUGCCACACUGGAACUGAGACACGGUCCAGACUCCUACGGGAGGCAGCAGUGGGGAAUUUUGGACAAUGGGGGCAACCCUGAUCCAGCCAUGCCGCGUGAGUGAAGAAGGCCU